rnacentral:rRNA from 1 species
GAUGAACGCUGGCGGCGUGCCUAAUACAUGCAAGUCGAACGGGGAGUAGCAAUACUCUUAGUGGCGAACGGGUGAGUAACGCGUUGGUACCUGCCCCGAAGCGGGGGAUAACGGACCGAAAGGUCCGCUAAUACCCCAUGUGCUCGGUAACGAGUAAAGGUGAAAACCACUUUGGGAGGGGCAUGCGUCCCAUCAGCUAGUUGGUAAGGUAACGGCUUACCAAGGCGAUGACGGGUAGGGGACCUGAGAGGGUGGCCCCCCACAAUGGAACUGAAACACGGUCCAUACACCUACGGGUGGCAGCAGUAGAGAAUAUUGGUAAUGGGCGCAAGCCUGAACCAGCAACGCCGCGUGUGCGAUGACGGCCUUCGGGUUGUAAAGCACUUUUGACUGGGACGAGGAAGGACGGUACCGGUCGAAUCAGCCUCGGCUAACUACGUG